GCCUGGGUGGCUCAGUUGGUUGGGCAUCUGACUUUGGCUCAGGUCAUGAUCUCGUGGUCCGUGGGUUCAAGCCCUGCAUCGGGCU
rnacentral:tRNA from 1 species